AUUGAACGCUGGCGGAAUGCUUUACACAUGCAAGUCGAACGAUGAACCUUAGCUUGCUAAGGGGAUUAGUGGCGAACGGGUGAGUAAUGUAUCGGAACGUAUCCAAUAAUGGGGGAUAACUAGUCGAAAGAUUAGCUAAUACCACAUACGUCCUACGGGAGAAAGCUAGGGACCUUCGGGCCUGGCGUUAAUGGAGCGGCCGAUAUCUGAUUAGCUAGUUGGUGGGGUAAAGGCUCACCAAGGCGACGAUCAGUAGCUGGUCUGAGAGGACGACCAGCCACACUGGAACUGAGACACGGUCCAGACUCCUACGGGAGGCAGCAGUGGGGAAUUUUGGACAAUGGGCGAAAGCCUGAUCCAGCCAUUCCGCGUGAGUGAAGAAGGCCUUCGGGUUGUAAAGCUCUUUCGCAAGAGAAGAAAACUUAAGCUCUAACAUAGCUUGAGGCUGACGGUACCUUGAUAAGAAGCACCGGCUAACUACGUGCCAGCCGCCGCAGUAA
rnacentral:rRNA from 1 species